ACUGAAUAAAAUCUCCGAGCCCGUUUGCCUAAGCUGAACAGUACCGGCAUACGGGCCGAUAGGGUAUACUGGGAAACCGGCAUGCCUCCCGUUGCGGAAAGGAGAUAAUGUGACUUUGGC
rnacentral:ncRNA from 2 species